UGGGGAAUUUUGGACAAUGGGCGCAAGCCUGAUCCAGCCAUGCCGCGUGCGGGAAGAAGGCCUUCGGGUUGUAAACCGCUUUUGUCAGGGAAGAAACGCUCUGGGCUAAUACCCUGGGGUAAUGACGGUACCUGAAGAAUAAGCACCGGCUAACUACGUGCCAGCAGCCGCGGUAAUACGUAGGGUGCAAGCGUUAAUCGGAAUUACUGGGCGUAAAGCGUGCGCAGGCGGUUAUGCAAGACAGAUGUGAAAUCCCCGGGCUCAACCUGGGAACUGCAUUUGUGACUGUAUAGCGUAGAGUACGGUAGAGGGGGAUGGAAUUCCGCGUGUAGCAGUGAAAUGCGUAGAUAUGCGGAGGAACACCGAUGGCGAAGGCAAUCCCCUGGACCUGUACUGACGCUCAUGCACGAAAGCGUGGGGAGCAAACAGGAUUAGAUACCCCCGUAGUCCCUGAGCGGGCUGGCAAGGCGCAU
rnacentral:rRNA from 1 species